AAAUGAAGACAGGGAACAUCUGGCAUUUCAAAGAGAGGAGGAUUUGUCCCCCCAAAGAACAAGGAGGGGAGGGAUGGUGGGAUGGCAAAUCUACGGAAAGAGUGCUGAGAACCACGGAGUAACACUGAGACAUUUAACAGUACGAUGAAGGCCAGUCAGGCCAUGACCAAGAUACCAGCUGCUGCAGAAGUGAAAAAUGAACGGAUGCUGGAGCAGUUAGUGAAAAACACCCUUGAGAUCAACGAAGGCAUUAAGGAGAUCCUAUGGAUGCAGAGGAAAUUACUAAAAACUCAAUUAACAACAGGAAGAAAUAUCUAUAAAACGGAGGGCAAGGUUACAACCCCAAUGCGUUCCUGCUAUGAUUCUGGCCAAAAAGAAGCCAGAAGAGGAGAAAGGGGAAAGGCAGGAAAGAAAAAGGAGAGGGGAGGAGGAAAGAAAUACAGGAAUAUGAGAGUUAGUGAAAAGGUAGAAAGGGUUGGGGGGGGGGCUGGGGGAGGGAAAGUUGGGAGAGUUAGGGGGAAGGGAGGGUAGGGAAAAGGGAUAGAUAGGUGUAAAGUUAAUUCAGAUGUUUUAAAUAAAAAUUGGCCAUGUUUCAAUCCACACUGUUGUCUGGUCUUUUAUUGCAGGGAUGGGAUGGCAAAUGUGACACAAUAUAAAUUAAAGCAAUGCAAUUGUAUUGUACUAAAGUAUUAAAAAUACCGUAUAUACUCGAGUAUAAGCAGAGGCAGUCCAACCAUGAGGCGAAUUAGGCAGUCGCCUGAGGGUGCAGUUGAGGUUGCUUUUUCUGUUGAUUUGUUGUAAAACAUGAUGUUUUGGUGCUUAGUUUGUAAAAUCGUAAUGUAAUUUGAUGUUUAAUAGUCUUUCCCUUAAUCCCUCCUUAUUAUCCAACAUUUUCGCUUAUCCAAAGCUUUUAUUUUUCAGUGAUUGGUUUGGGGGGGGGGGGGGCGCCAAAAUUCUGUUCGCCUACACUUGAAAAAUACCUAGGGCCGGCUCUGAGUAUAAGCCGACCCGAAUAUAAGCCGAGGCACCUAAUUUUACCACCCAAAAACUUGGAAAACAUUG
rnacentral:lncRNA from 1 species